GUGGAUUAGAUACCCUGGUAGUCCACGCGGUAAACGAUGAAUACUAGGUGUAGGGGGUAUCGACCCCCCCUGUGCCGCAGCUAACGCAAUAAGUAUUCCACCUGGGGAGUACGGCCGCAAGGUUGAAACUCAAAGGAAUUGACGGGGGCCCGCACAAGCAGUGGAGUAUGUGGUUUAAUUCGAAGCAACGCGAAGAACCUUACCAGGGCUUGACAUCCCUUGACGACGGCAGAGAUGCCGUUUCCCUUCGGGGCAAGGAGACAGGUGGUGCACGGUUGUCGCCAGCU
rnacentral:rRNA from 1 species